ACAGCCUUGCAACAUUGAAAACACCAGUUCUCGCCCGUUCACCCAAGUUAAGCAACGUCAAGCCUGGUCAGUACUUGGGAGGGUGACUACUUGGGAAUACUGGGUGCUGUAAGUA